rnacentral:rRNA from 1 species
GCACAAGCGGUGGAGCAUGUGGUUUAAUUCGAUGCAACGCGAAGAACCUUACCUGGGCUUGACAUCCCAAGAAUCCCCUGGAAACAGGGGAGUGCCCUUCGGGGAGCUUGGAGACAGGUGCUGCAUGGCUGUCGCCAGCUCGUGUCGUGAGAUGUUGGGUUAAGUCCCGCAACGAGCGCAACCCUUGCCUUUAGUUGCCAUCAUUCAGUUGGGCACUCUAGAGGGACUGCCGGUGUCAAACCGGAGGAAGGUGGGAUGACGUCAAGUCCUCAUGGCCUUUAUGCCCAGGGCUACACACGUGCUACAAUGGGCGGUACAAAGAGCAGCGAGCUCGCGAGAGUAAGCAAAUCUCAAAAAGCCGUCCUCAGUUCGGAUUGGAGUCUGCAACUCGACUCCAUGAAGUUGGAAUCGCUAGUAAUCGCGGAUCAGCAUGCCGCGGUGAAUACGUUCCCGGGCCUU